UCUGGUCUUGGGACACUGUCAGGUGGGCAGUUUGACUGGGGCGGUCGCCUCCCAAAAGGUAACGGAGGCGCUCAAAGGUUCUCUCAGUACGGUCGGAAAUCGUACGUAGAGUGUAAAGGCAAAAGAGAGCUUGAUUGCAAGACAUACAGGUCGAGCAAGGAUGAAAAUCGGACUUAGUGAUCCGGUGGUUCUGCGUGGAAGGGCCAUCGCUCAACGGAUAAAAGCUACCCUGGGGAUAACAGGCUUAUCUCCCCCAAGAGUCCACAUCGACGGGGAGGUUUGGCACCUCGAUGUCGGCUCAUCACAUCCUGGGGCUGUAGUAGGUCCCAAGGGUUGGGCUGUUCGCCCAUUAAAGUGGUACGCGAGCUGGGUUCAGAACGUCGUGAGACAGUUCGGUCCCUAUCCGUCGCAGGCGUAGGAAAUUUGAGAAGACCUGUCCUUAGUACGAGAGGACCGGGAUGGACGUACCUCUGGUGUACCAGUUGUCCUGCCAAGGGCAUGGCUGGGUAGCUAUGUACGGAAUGGAUAAGCGCUGAAAGCAUCUAAGCGCGAAGCCAACUUCAAGAUAAGAUUUCCCACCGCAAGGGUAAGACCCCAGAAAGACUAUCUGGUUGAUAGGUCGAAGGUGUAAGUGUAGCAAUGUAUUUAGCUUAUCGAUACUAAUAGGUCGAGGACUUGACCAAUAUU
rnacentral:rRNA from 1 species